rnacentral:rRNA from 1 species
GACGAACGCUGGCGGCGUGCCUAAUACAUGCAAGUUGAGCGCUGAAGGUUGGUACUUGUACCAACUGGAUGAGCAGCGAACGGGUGAGUGACGCGUGGGGAAUCUGCCUUUGAGCGGGGGACAACAUUUGGAAACGAAUGCUAAUACCGCAUAAAAACUUUAAACACAAGUUUUAAGUUUGAAAGAUGCAAUUGCAUCACUCAAAGAUGAUCCCGCGUUGUAUUAGCUAGUUGGUGAGGUAAAGGCUCACCAAGGCGAUGAUACAUAGCCGACCUGAGAGGGUGAUCGGCCACAUUGGGACGGAGACACGGCCCAAACUCCUACGGGAGGCAGCAGUAGGGAAUCUUCGGCAAUGGACGAAAGUCUGACCGAGCAACGCCGCGUGAGUGAAGAAGGUUUUCGGAUCGUAAAACUCUGUUGGUAGAGAAGAACGUUGGUGAGAGUGGAAAGCUCAUCAAGUGACGGUAACUACCCAGAAAGGGACGGCUAACUACGUG